rnacentral:rRNA from 1 species
GUUCUGUAAGCCUGUGAAGAUGGACUCGUAAGAGCCGUUGGAGGUAUCAGAAGUGCGAAUGCUGACAUAAGUAACGUUAAUGCGUGUGAAAGACACGCACGCCGAAAGACCAAGGUUUCCUGUUCAACGUUAAUCGGAGCAGGGUGAGUCGGCCCCUAAGACGAGGCAGAGAUGCGUAGUCGAUGGGAAUCAGGUUAAUAUUCCUGAACUCUCGUAUCAUGCGAUGGAGGGACGGAGAAAGCUAGACCAGCUGGUGAUUGGUAUACCAGUGUAAGCAGGUAGGCAGAGAUCUUAGGCAAAUCCGGGAUCUCAAUGCUGAGAUGUGAAUGCGAGGAGGUUACGACCUCCGGAGUGGUUGAUGCUAUGCUUCCAAGAAAAGCUUCUAAGCUAUAGUGAUAUGAGAACCGUACCCCAAACCGACACUGGUGGUUGGGAUGAGAAUUCUAAGGCGCUUGAGAGAACUCGGGUGAAGGAACUCGGCAAAAUCGUACCGUAACUUCGGGAGAAGGUACACCUUCCUUGGUGAAUGCUUUACGCAGUAAGCUGAGGAGGGUCGCAGUGAAAAGCUGGCUGCAACUGUUUAUCAAAAACACAGGACUCUGCAAACACGAAAGUGGACGUAUAGGGUCUGACGCCUGCCCGGUGCUGGAAGGUUAAUUGAUGGGGUUAGCGUAAGCGAAGCUCUUGAUCGAAGCCCCAGUAAACGGCGGCCGUAACUAUAACGGUCCUAAGGUAGCGAAAUUCCUUGUCGGGUAAGUUCCGACCUGCACGAAUGGCGCAAUGACGGCCAGGCUGUCUCCACCCGAGACUCAGUGAAAUUGAAAUCGCCGUGAAGAUGCGGUGUACCCGCGGCAAGACGGAAAGACCCCGUGAACCUUUACUAUAGCUUUACAGUGGAUUUUGAAUCUUUUUGUGCAGGAUAGGUGGGAGGCUUUGAAGCUAAGACGCUAGUUUUAGUGGAGCCAUCCUUGAAAUACCACCCUGAAAGUUUUGGAAUUCUAACUUAGAUCCAUCAUCUGGAUUAAGGACAUUGUAUGGUAGGUAGUUUGACUGGGGCGGUCUCCUCCGAAAGAGUAACGGAGGAGUACGAAGGUACCCUCAGCCCGGUCGGAAAUCGGGCUAUUGAGUGCAAAAGCAAAAGGGUGCUUGACUGCGAGACAGACACGUCGAGCAGGUACGAAAGUAGGUUUUAGUGAUCCGGUGGUUCUGUAUGGAAAGGCCAUCGCUCAACGGAUAAAAGGUACUCCGGGGAUAACAGGCUGAUUCCGCCCAAGAGUUCAUAUCGACGGCGGAGUUUGGCACCUCGAUGUCGACUCAUCACAUCCUGGGGCUGUAGUCGGUCCCAAGGGUAUGGCUGUUCGCCAUUUAAAGUGGUACGCGAGUUGGGUUCAGAACGUCGUGAGACAGUUCGGUCCCUAUCUGCCGUGGGCGUUGGAAAUUUGAGAGGAGCUGCUUCUAGUACGAGAGGACCGAAGUGGACGUAUCUCUGGUGGUCCGGUUGUCAUACCAAUGGCAUAGCCGGGUAGCUACAUACGGACGGGAUAACCGCUGAAAGCAUCUAAGCGGGAAGCCCACCUCAAGAUUAGAUUUCCCUAGGGGUUUAACCCCUCUGAAGGUCCGUCGAAGACUACGACGUUGAUAGGUUGGGUGUGUAAGUGCAGUAAUGCAUUGAGCUUACCAAUACUAAUUGACCGUGAGGCUUGACCAUAUAAUAG